CUCGGGAGACAAGUGAGAUGUC
rnacentral:miRNA from 3 species